rnacentral:rRNA from 1 species
GAUGAACGCUGGCGGCGUGCCUAAUACAUGCAAGUCGAGCGAACGGACGAGAAGCUUGCUUCUCUGAUGUUAGCGGCGGACGGGUGAGUAACACGUGGAUAACCUACCUAUAAGACUGGGAUAACUUCGGGAAACCGGAGCUAAUACCGGAUAAUAUUUUGAACCGCAUGGUUCAAAAGUGAAAGACGGUCUUGCUGUCACUUAUAGAUGGAUCCGCGCUGCAUUAGCUAGUUGGUAAGGUAACGGCUUACCAAGGCAACGAUGCAUAGCCGACCUGAGAGGGGGGACGCAGAAUAUGUGACUGAGCGACGGUCGACAAACCUAUGGUAGGCAGACGCAGGGAAUUUGACGAAAUUCUCCGAAGCGUAAAUGACUAAUGCGGGGUAAGAUAUGACGGACAUCUGAUCGUACAACUCUGGUCUGAACGAAGAAAAAAAGUGUAGGUAACCGCGCAGCCAGUGCGGGUGCCAAAGGAGAAAGCCACGGCUCGCUACGUG